UUCCGGUUGAUCCCGCCGGAGGCUACUGCUAUCGGAAUUCGAUUAAGCCAUGCGAGUCGAGAGGGUUUGGCCCUCGGCUGACGGCUCAGUAACACGUGGAUAACCUGCCCUCAGGUAGGGGAUAAUCUCGGGAAACUGAGGAUAAUACCCUAUAGGCAUCCUUUGCUGGAAUGCUUGGAUGUUCAAAGGCAACGCCUGAGGAUGGGUCUGUGGCCUAUCAGGUUGUAGUGGGUGUAACGUACCCACUAGCCCACGACGGGUACGGGCCUUGAAAGAGGUAGCCCGGAGAUGGACUCUGAGACACGAGUCCAGGCCCUACGGGGCGCAGCAGGCGCGAAAACUUCGCAAUGCGGGAAACCGUGACGAGGGAAUUCCGAGUGCUCAUACAAUGUAUGGGCUUUUCUUAUGUGUAAAAAGCAUGAGGAAUAAGGGCUGGGUAAGACCGGUGCCAGCCGCCGCGGUAAUACCGGCAGCUCUAGUGGUAGCCACUUUUAUUGGGCCUAAAGCGUCCGUAGCCGGUCAGGUAAAUCCUUGGGUAAAUCGUACAGCUUAACUGUGCGGCUUCCGGGGAGACUGCUUGACUUGGGACCGGGAGAGGUUGGAGGUACUCCUGGGGUAGGGGUGAAAUCCUGUAAUCCUAGGUGGACCACCGGUGGCGAAGGCGUCCAACCAGAACGGCUCCGACGGUGAGGGACGAAGGCUAGGGGCGCAAACCGGAUUAGAUACCCGGGUAGUCCUAGCUGUAAACGCUGCAGACUUGGUGUUGGAGAUCCCACGAGGGUGUCCAGUGCCGGAGAGAAGUUGUUAAGUUUGCCGCCUGGGAAGUAUGGCCGCAAGGCUGAAACUUAAAGGAAUUGGCGGGGGAGCACCGCAACGGGAGGAGCGUGCGGUUUAAUUGGAUUCAACGCCGGAA
rnacentral:rRNA from 1 species